AUGAGCAAUGGGUUUGCGACGUACACAGUCCACAUUGCACACAUCACAUCACAUUAUUCAUGGGCUCAUGGCAACAUGAUGAGGGUGCUCGCUCUGGCCGCCGCCAGCGGCGUGCCGUCGAUCAUCUCUCGGGGCACGUUCGGUCGCAUGCUGGGCAACCGCAGCCAGAGCGGCUGCGAGGGCGGCGCCUUCUACACAUACGACGCGUUCGUGGAGGCCGCAAACGCGAGCAAGCUCCGCGGCUUCUGCACCAUCGGUGACGAGGACACCCGCAGGCGCGAGAUUGGUGAUGAUAUCGUACUCAUAGUUUUACAAAUAACAUCGACUACAACUACCGGCAAGCCGGAGACGCGAUGGGGCUGGAUCUGCUGGAUAAUCCGGAUCUGGUGUCCGCCGACAUCCUGUCGUCGCGUUCAAGAUCUGUGUCAAUGCCGAGGGGCCAAAUUUCGUGUUUUGAUCUUUUUCAAAAAGUUAAACCGGAUCUGA
rnacentral:rRNA from 1 species